CACACGCACCGCCGCGGGGGGCAGCGGGAAUACCGGUAACCGACGCCUAAACGUGAGCGCGUGGGCGUUAAACCUGAGGCAGCGCCGCUAUAGCCCCGAGCCGCACCACAAAGAGGACCGGACCGGGGAUUGCCGCGGGCAGUAGCGCAUUUUGCCGAGGCUCAUCGACAGCCUUUUCGACAUGGAUCCCCCACCAGGGCGCAGCCACGAAGACGCUGGUUACCUGAGCUUGGGAGUCGUUGAGCUCCAGGACGAACCGCAUGAUGUGAAGCCUACGGCGACCUCAGUAGCUGAAGCAAGAAAAGCCGUCGAGGAGGAUCCACGGUCGGAACUCGAGCAGGGAGCAGCAGCAGCAGCUGCAGGAGAACAAGUCCACGUUGGCGCAGGGGCUCUCGACCCGGUGGACGACGAGACCCAGAAGGUGGGGCGGCGGGCGAGGAGACCCCGCCGCAGCAGCAGGAGGAGGCGUCCGAAGCUGCCAGCGAGGAUCCGAAGCCCCAGGACCCGCAGCCACGCCUGCACCGCAGCACUUUCACUCGGCUGCAGCUGACCGAGCUGGAGAGCGUUUUCCGACGCACCCAGUACCCUGACGUGUUUGCACGGAAGGAGGUUGCAAUAUGUAUGGAUGUGACCCAAGCCAGAGUGCAGGUCAGUGAACCCGAAAAAAACAACGAGGCAGGACAGCCACAGUAAAACCGCUUCAGGACUUGGACGCUUUUGUUCUAGACAUUCUCAAGUUGUUGUUUUUGAUGUCUUUUCCAUGUUUGGGAAAUGAGUUUUGAACUUUGGGGGCUUUGUUGAGUGGAAAAUAGGGUAAUUAAAGCCCAGUUUAUGGAAACUGCCCAUUGCUAGAAGUAGCAUGAUUCUCCUGUUAUUCUCCAAACUACUUCUCCUAUUUUCUGUGCAACAUUAAAUAUAAUAAAGUUCACCUCCU
rnacentral:lncRNA from 9 species